rnacentral:rRNA from 1 species
UACGUAGGACCCAAGCGUUAUCCGGAUUGACUGGGCGUAAAGAGUUGCGUAGGUGGUUUGUUAAGCGAAUGGUGAAAUCUUGUGGCUCAACCAUAAGGCUAUUAUUCGAACUGACAAACUCGAGAACGGGAGAGGUAUCUGGAAUUCCCAGUGUAGGAGUGAAAUCCGUAGAUAUUGGGAGGAACACCAAUGGCGUAGGCAGGAUACUAGACCGUUUCUGACACUAAGGCACGAAAGCGUGGGGAGCGAACUGG